rnacentral:sRNA from 2 species
CAACCAUGGUCGCCGCGACGCGAAGCCGGAACCGGGGACCCUCGCAGUCCCUUGGGGUGAAUCGGUGCUUCGGCACCGUAGGGCGCCUUCUUCCGCCCGAACCCGUCAGCUAACCCGGUAGGCGGCCGAGGAAGGAGAC